UACGUAGGGUGCAAGCGUUAAUCGGAAUUACUGGGCGUAAAGCGUGCGCAGGCGGUUCGGAAAGAAAGAUGUGAAAUCCCAGGGCUUAACCUUGGAACUGCAUUUUUAACUACCGGGCUAGAGUGUGUCAGAGGGAGGUGGAAUUCCGCGUGUAGCGGUGAAAUGCGUAGAUAUGCGGAGGAACUCCGAUGGCGAAGGCAGCCUCCUGGGAUAACACUGACGCUCAUGCACGAAAGCGUGGGGCGCAUUCA
rnacentral:rRNA from 1 species